rnacentral:rRNA from 1 species
CACUCCUACGGGAGGCAGCAGUGGGGAAUUUUGGACAAUGGGCGAAAGCCUGAUCCAGCAAUGCCGCGUGAGUGAAGAAGGCCUUCGGGUUGUAAAGCUCUUUUGUCAGGGAAGAAACGGUGAGAGCUAAUAUCUCUUGCUAAUGACGGUACCUGAAGAAUAAGCACCGGCUAACUACGUGCCAGCAGCCGCGGUAAUACGUAGGGUGCAAGCGUUAAUCGGAAUUACUGGGCGUAAAGCGUGCGCAGGCGGUUUUGUAAGUCUGAUGUGAAAUCCCCGGGCUCAACCUGGGAAUUGCAUUGGAGACUGCAAGGCUAGAAUCUGGCAGAGGGGGGUAGAAUUCCACGUGUAGCAGUGAAAUGCGUAGAUAUGUGGAGGAACACCGAUGGCGAAGGCAGCCCCCUGGGUCAAGAUUGACGCUCAUGCACGAAAGCGUGGGGAGCAAACAGGAUUAGAUACCCUUGUAGUCCCA